UCCGGCUUAACACCGGCAGUCUCCUCAGAGUGCCCAACUUAAUGCUGGCAACUAAGAAUAAGGGUUGCGCUCGUUGCCGGACUUAACCGAACAUUUCACAACACGAGCUGACGACAGCCAUGCAGCAUCUGUCACCGAGUCCCCGAAGGGAAAACCACAUCUCUGUGGCGGUCUCGGGAUGUCAAGGCCAGGUAAGGUUCUGCGCGUUGCUUCGAAUUAAACCACAUACUCCACCGCUUGUGCGGGCCCCCGUCAAUUCCUUUGAGUUUUAGCCUUGCGACCGUACUCCCCAGGCGGGAUACUUAAUGCGUGAGCUACGGCAGUCAAAGGGUUAACACUUCGACCGCCUAGUAUCCAUAGUUUACGGCGUGGACUAC
rnacentral:misc_RNA from 1 species